GCGUUAAUCGGAAUUACUGGGCGUAUAGCGUGCGCAGGCGGUUUUAUAAGUCUGAUGUGAAAUCCCCGGGCUCACCCUGGGAACUGCAUUGGAGACUGUAAGGCUAGAGUGUGUCAGAGGGGGGUAGAAUUCCACGUGUAGCAGUGAAAUGCGUAGAUAUGUGGCGGAAUACCGAUGGCGAAGGCAGCCCCCUGGGAUAACACUGACGCUCAUGCACGAAAGCGUGGGGAGCAAA
rnacentral:rRNA from 1 species